rnacentral:tRNA from 1 species
CCCCCUGUAGCCCAACCGGCAGAGGCAGUCGACUUAAAAUCGAUACAGUGUGGGUUCGAAUCCCACCAGGGGGA